rnacentral:tRNA from 1 species
CAGUAGUUUAAUGGCAGAACAUCAGCCUUCCAAUCUAACGGCGUGGGUUCGAUUCCCAUCUGGU